AUAAAGAUAGGCUAUUAAUAAGCCUUUAGGUUCAUAUCCUAAAGAAGCAUACUUAUGCUCUUUAUUUU
rnacentral:tRNA from 2 species